rnacentral:rRNA from 1 species
UCCUACGGGAGGCAGCAGUAGGGAAUAUUGGACAAUGGGGGAAAACCCUGAUCCAGCAAUGCCGCGUGAGCGAUGAAGGCCUUAGGGUUGUAAAGCUCUUUUGUCAGGGAAGAAAAGGUUCUGGCUAAUACCUGGGACUCAUGACGGUACCUGAAGAAUAAGGACCGGCUAACUACGUGCCAGCAGCCGCGGUA